AAGGCCGGAGGGAGGGGUGCGCGGUGAGGAGAAACUACGAGGUAAAACUACGACUCCCAGAAGGCCCCUGGCUGCGUGCCGCCGGCGCGUGCGCACUCCGAAGGCCGGGCACAGGGGAGGCGAGCGCCGGAAGACUUAGCCCUGGAGCCGCACUGGGGGGACGCCCAGGCGGGUGCCAGUGUGCCUAGCAGUCUCCACCUGCCCAGUGACCAUGAUAGGCUACUGCAUGAUUGAUUGAGAAAACCUGGCAGGCCCAAGUCAAGGAGUGUUUAUAAUGCCUGAAGCCUUGCUCAGAAAACUUCAAGGCAAUUUAAUUUGGAACCAGGUUUCAAGUCAUCCCACAGUGCUUGAUGAUGGCUUUCCAUGACUGACAGCUGUUCUCCAAAUGUCAUUAUUUUGAGGAAAGAGUUUGAAAAGGCCAGUUCUUUGACUCCCAAAGGCCUGAUAUUGCUUGCCAAAUGUCAACUCAGAGAUGGGGUAUCUAUACUGGGGAUGUGUCCCCUUAAAGAAGUGCCAUCAGAUUCCACUUGAUUAAGGCCUCUUCUGACGUCAGCAGUGGGGAUUCAGGCCCAGAAUGAUGGGACUGGGCCCGCAGUCUUGGAUGUGCGUCUACAGAAUUACAAGCACAAGGGGUAUCGCCAUUCGGUUGUGUCUAAAAUCUUCCUCUGAGGGAGCAAGGAUAUCUUCAGAGGCAUCACUUGAAGGGCUGAGCAGGGGAGAAGACAGUUUAUAUCGGCAACCGACGUGAAAUCCUGGUCUUUCUGUGUUCCACAUGCACCCCGCAGCCCACUGUAAGCACCCCACUAGUACUUGUCUGCCCUCUGGCUGGCUUACGGAGGGCUACCAUCACAAACAUUAAGAAAUUAGAACUUCUUAC